UACGAAGGGGGCUAGCGUUGCUCGGAAUCACUGGGCGUAAAGGGUGCGUAGGCGGGUUUUUAAGUCAGGGGUGAAAUCCUGGAGCUCAACUCCAGAACUGCCUUUGAUACUGAAGAUCUUGAGUCCGGAGAGGUGAGUGGAACUGCGAGUGUAGAGGUGAAAUUCGUAGAUAUUCGCAAGAACACCAGUGGCGAAGGCGGCUCACUGGCCCGGUACUGACGCUGAGGCACGAAAGCGUGGGGAGCAAACAGG
rnacentral:rRNA from 1 species